AGGGCUCAAAGCAAGAUUUCUGAACUCUAACGUUAGAGCUCUGGCCACCAAAGCAACAGGAUGUGGAGGAAAGAUGGGCACAGGGUCGGAGUGACUCUCCUGUCAGCACGAGCUCAGACAAGACUGCUUUCUGCGUGCCAGCUUCCUCAGCUGUGCUGGAGGAUCUGCGUGGUAGGUAACUGAAGGGACCCCUGUGAAAGGGUUAUUCGCCCUCUGGAAGGGUCGCAACCCACAGGUUGGGAACUACUGCUCUAAAACAUCUCUCAAGAGCUCUGGCCAGAGCCUGCCCUUCAAGGAAGUCUGGAGAGUUUUUCCAGUUGAAUGAGAAGAUUCACACCUAUGGGGUUGCUAUGAGAACUGAAUGGGUCAGUGCCACCAGGCAGUCGGAGCAGCAGUAAGCAAGCGGUCUUCAUGACUGUGUCCAAGGUGUCACUUCCGACCCAGCCUUGUGGACAAGAGACCUCUCUGGACGCCUCAUUUUGGGGUCAGUUGUAGAAGAAACACAGCAUUCUGAAGGCCUUAGAAUUGCUCCUGAAAUCUCAACCUCUCUAAUAAGGAAAAGAAAUAAGA
rnacentral:lncRNA from 1 species